UCAGUCGACUCCUACGGGGAGGCAGCAGUGGGGAAUAUUGCACAAUGGGGGAAACCCUGAUGCAGCCAUGCCGCGUGUGUGAAGAAGGCCUUCGGGUUGUAAAGCACUUUCAGUAGGGAGGAAGGUAGUGUAGUUAACACCUGCAUUAUUUGACGUUACCUACAGAAGAAGCACCGGCUAACUCCGUGCCAGCAGCCGCGGUAAUACGGAGGGGUGCGAGCGUUAAUCGGAAUUACUGGGCGUAAAGCGCAUGCAGGCGGCCUGUUAAGUCAGAUGUGAAAGCCCGGGGCUUAACCUCGGAAUUGCAUUUGAAACUGGCAGGCUAGAGUCUUGUAGAGGGGGGUAGAAUUUCAGGUGUAGCGGUGAAAUGCGUAGAGAUCUGAAGGAAUACCAGUGGCGAAGGCGGCCCCCUGGACAAAGACUGACGCUCAGAUGCGAAAGCGUGGGGAGCAAACAGGAUUAGAUACCCUGGUAG
rnacentral:rRNA from 1 species